rnacentral:misc_RNA from 1 species
CUCUCUCUCUCUCUCUCCUUCUUCCUCGAAUCUUCUUCUCUUUCUUUAUUAUUCCUUUCUUCUAUUCUUCUGUUACUCAUGUUGCUACUCUGUGAUUGAAGGAGUUGUUGGUCUGAGCUCCAUCGUCAGGUCUUGAGAAGUCUAUGAGACCAAUUCCUGACAUUUACUCACAUGAAAGAAAUCAUUAGCUCUUAUGAGUGGAAGAUGAUUUUAAGUUAGGGUUUUUGUUGAAAAUGGGUGUUUAAUUAAAGCUUGAGUGGAUUUAUGAUUGAUUAUGUAAAAAAAGGAUGUGAAUGAAGGGAGGAAGAUGAAACUUGGGGUGUUGAGUGCUCUUUUCUUUUCUUUUUU